CCCACUCCUAGCUCUGACCCUUCUCCAAAAUUCAAGAAUAAAUUCUUAGUUUUUCUCAAGUACUUAAGAUAUUUUCGCAGCAAUCCAGCAUUCCUAAUCUGGAUUCGAUUGAUAUCCACUCAUGGCAUUCACAGCAAUGACUAUAUCAGAUCGAGUACAUAGCAUGACAUACUUCUAUGCCCAAGAGGAUAGUAGACCCCUCUUAGAGAUUUCUAUGCUGAAUUCUUUCAGCAUCUACUAUCUGUACUUUUCUAUGAAAAUUUAAAACAUCCACUUGGAUCUAUCUCUAUAGACCUUUAUAUUCACAGAAUAUAGGAUGCUUGUUCUAGA
rnacentral:lncRNA from 1 species